CAGCCUACGGCUGAACCAGCACUUGGGAGAAUGUUUCUUAUUUUAAUAAAUAUAUUUAUUUAUUAUAUUUAAGUAUUCAUGAAAUUUGAAUAUAAUUCUAGGUAAAAUUUUGAUAAUGACAAAGUUUUAUCUAUUUGUCUUGACCAAAUCUUGUGCCAGCAGUCGCGGCAACACAAGGAAGACAAGUGUUAUUCAUCUUAAAUCGGUUUAAGGGGUACCUAGACGGUAAAUUAGGCCAUAGUAGGAACGUUUUUACUAGAGUUAUACAUGCAUGGGGAUUGUGUCAGUAUUACCAGAGUAGAGAUGAAAUUUUUUGAUACUGUUAAGACUGGUAAAGGCGAAAGCAAACCUUUAUAUAUUAACUGACGUUGAGGGACGAAGGCUUGGGGAGCAAACAGGAUUAGAUACCCUAAUAGUCCAGGCAGAGAAUUAUGAAUGUCAUAGAUUAUAUAUAAUGUAGUCUAUAAAUGAAAGUGUAAGCAUUCCACCUCAAGAGUAAUGUGGCAACGCAGGAACUGAAAUCAUUAGACCGUUUCUGAUACCAGUCGUGAAGUAUGUUGUUUAAUUUGUCGGUCCACAAAGAACCUUACCACAAUUUGAAUAUAUAUAAUUUAUAUAAAUUUAUGUUUAUAUAUUUAUUUAUACAAGCGUUGCAUUGUUGUCUUCAGUUAAUGUUGUGAGACUUUGGUUAGAUUCAUAAAAUUAACGUAAUCCUAUGAUCUAUUUAAGUAUUAAUAGAUUAGUUCACCGCAAUAUUGGAUAUUGAUAACUGGGAGUAAGACAAGUCGUAAUGACCUUAAUAUUGUGGGCUAUAGACGUGCCACAUAAGCCUAAACAAAGGGGUGCAAAAAUGCAAA
rnacentral:rRNA from 1 species